rnacentral:rRNA from 1 species
AUUGAACGCUGGCGGCAGGCCUAACACAUGCAAGUCGAAAGAGUGGCGGACGGGUGCGUCAUGUCUGGGAAACCGCCCGAUGGAGGGGGAUAACUACUGGCAAUGGUAGCUAAUACCGCCUACCUUCAGAUUGGCCCAGAUGGGAUUGGCUUGUUGGUGGGGUAACGGCUCACCAAGGCGACGACCCCUAGCUGGUCUGAGCGGAUGACCAGCAAGACUGGAACUGAGACACGGUCCAGAAUCCUACGGGAGGCAGCAGUGGGGAAUAGUGCACAAGGGGCGCAAGCCUGAUGCAGCGAUGCCGCGUGGAUGAAGAAGGCCGUCGGGUUGUAAAGUACUUUAAGCGGGGAGGCGUUACCCGCAGAAGAAGCACCGGCUAACUCCGUGCCAGCAGCCGCGGUAAUUC